CCUUUCAGACGGAGAACCAUUUGUGAAAGAUAUCAUCAGAAAAAGGUAAUUAAAAUUCCUUUAAACCAUAGAUCUAUCGGACUUUCAAAGAGGUCGAAUUGUUGGUGAUCGUAUGGCAGGCGCUGGCGUAACGAAAACACCCGAAAUGUUUAAUGUAUUAAUAAGUACUGUCUCGAAAGUAAAGACAGCCUUU